rnacentral:rRNA from 1 species
GAUGAACGCUGGCGGCGUGCCUAAUACAUGCAAGUCGAGCGAACGGACGAGAAGCUUGCUUCUCUGAUGUUAGCGGCGGACGGGUGAGUAACACGUGGAUAACCUACCUAUAAGACUGGGAUAACUUCGUGAAACCGGAUCUAAUACCGGAUAAUAUUUUGAACCGCAUGGUUCAAAAGUGAAAGACGGUCUUGCUGUCUCUUAUAGAUGGAUCCGCGCUGCAUUAGCUAGUUGUUAAGGUAACGGCUUACCAAGGCAACGAUGCAUAGCCGACCUGAGAGGGUGAUCGGCAACACUGGAACUGAGACACGGUCCAGACUCCUACGGGAGGCAGCAGUAGGGAAUCUUCCGCAAUGGGCGAAAGCAUGACGGAGCAACGCCGCGUGAGAGAUGAAGGUCUACGGAUCGUAAAACUCUGUUAUUAGGGAAGAACAUAUGUGUAAGUAACUGUGCACAUCUUGACGGUACCUAAUCAGAAAGCCACGGCUAACUACGUG